AUGGAGGAGGACGAGGAAGCGAGCAUUUCGUCUGCUAUACCUAGCAAGGUUGAUCCAUUAGACUUUUUCUACACAAACAUACCAGACACCACUCACAUCCUCAAGCUCACCGCAAACUACAAACACUGCAAUGCCAAAAAGUUUGAGUCUGAGACCGACGGGUUUUGCUGUCGUAAUUCCCAGAUCGAACUUACGCAACCGGAACCAAUCCCAGAGCUGAUGAGGCUAUGGUCCAGCAUGGAUGCAGAUUCUAGACAUUUUCGUGAAAACAUACGGUUCUUCAACGGGCAUUUCGCAUUCACAACCCUUGGCAUCAGCCUUGAUGAGAACUACACAAACAUGAAGUCUGGGGUGUACGCAUUCAGGGCACACGGCACCAUCUACCACAAUGUGCAUUCGUUCGGGCCUAGCUCAUGUCUAGAACAUCUGCAGUUGUACUUCUAUGAUGACGACCCAACCAUAAGUCAUCGUAAGGCAGCCACCAAGCAAUUAGACCAGGAUGUCGUGAAGAAGUUAGUACACAUACUCAAAGAAAACCCGUACUCCCAGCAAUUUAGGAGUUUGGGUGCAUACAAGGACAACCUCGACGAUUAUAGGAUAGACCUAAACACGGAUAAGAGGCUUGACCAAAGAAGAUAUAAUAGACCGUUGUCAUCUGAGGUCGCUGCAAUUUGGGUUGAGGGCAACGACCUAGCAAAAAGGUUUGAUCGGAGGAUAACACUUUGUGGUAACAACAAUGAAAGGCACAGUAUACGUGUGACCUCCGGAGCAUAUGACCCAUUGUCUUAUCCCCUAUUCUAUCCAAGGGGGGAACUAGGUUGGCAUCCGAAGCUACCUAAACGUAAUGUUCCUUGGGAGGUUGAAUUAAAUCCUCAAUUGGGCCUUGAUGAUGACGCUGAUGCAAGUAUGUCGUAUGCAUCCCAUUUUGUUACAACUAAUAUCUAA
rnacentral:rRNA from 1 species